UACGUAGGAUGCGAGCGUUAUCCGGAUUUAUUGGGUUUAAAGGGUGCGCAGGCGGCACGGCAAGCCGGCGGUCAAAUCGCGGGGCUCAACCCCGCCCAGCCGUCGGAACUGCCGGGCUAGAGUGGGCGAGAAGUGCGCGAAAUGCGUGGUGUAGCGGUGAAAUGCAUAGAUAUCACGCAGAACUCCGAUUGCGAAGGCAGCGCACCGGCGCCCUACUGACGCUCAGGCACGAAAGCGUGGGUAUCGAACAGG
rnacentral:rRNA from 1 species